rnacentral:rRNA from 1 species
ACAUGGAGGGUUUGAUCCUGGCUCAGGGUGAACGCUGGCGGCGUGCCUUACACAUGCAAGUCGAGCGAAGCUGCUAACUGGAGUCCUUUGGGAUGAAGGUUAGUAGACUGAGCGGCG